CAUGAAGCUGGAAUCGCUAGUAAUCGCGAAUCAGAAUGUCGCGGUGAAUACGUUCCCGGGUCUUGUACACACCGCCCGUCACACCAUGGGAGUCGGAAAUGCCCAAAGUCAGUGACCUAACCGAAAGGGAGGAGCUGCCGAAGGUGGAGCCGGUAACUGGGGUGAAGUCGUAACAAGGUAAC
rnacentral:rRNA from 1 species